UGGAGUCUGAGCUGACAUGUAAGAAGUCCAACUACCCUGAAACUGCCCUACUGGAGAGACCAGAUAGAGAGACACAUGGAGAGAGAGGUUAGAGGAGCCCUCAGAUCUUGAAUCUUCCCAGCAUCGACAAGCAAGCCUGUGAGUGGGUGAGCUAUAUUAGAGGACGUUUAUACUUUGGGAAACGGAUCCAGGAGAAAGAAGACUGAUGUGUUGAAAGAAGGUACUUCUAUGUAUGUUCCAUGGAGUCAAGGACAUUGGUUACUGCUGGAUCCCCAACUCUUACAACAGUGUCUGGCACACAGAAGGAGGUCAGUAAAUAUUCUUUGAGU